rnacentral:lncRNA from 7 species
ACAGCAGCUCAUCAUAAACACUAUCAUUUUUCCUGCCUUGUCCUCUGGAGCUGUGCUGUGAUCAUCUUGAAGACUCCAAGCCAGAAUGGCAAACCUUGAUUCCUCAGAAAGUAGAGGUGCUCUUCUCCAGGCACUCAUGAGGGCUAUUUAACUUUCCAAGCUCAUACAACUCUGCAGGCACAGAUACAUCUGUGCAAGUGUUUGAAAAAAGGUUUGACAAGACAGGGAAGGUGGAUCUAAAGGAAAUAAAGUAGGAAUUACCAGUGCUAGGACUGUCCUAGGAUCCAAAACUCCCUUUAUCAGUAGUAAAAGCAAGCCGAACUUCUCAUACAUCGUAAUGACUUAAGUAUGUCCAGGUCAGCCUGCUUUCAUGACCUGGUGAACCUGAUGGCUGACCAGCCAGAUGGAAAGAUCUUUUCAGUGGAUGAACGCAGAGCACUGAUAUGGGGACUGAAAUAAAGUUAAAAACAAAACACACAGCUCUGGUCUGUGGACUGGUGUGAUUCAGGCCUGUUGUGGUGAACUGCAAAUCACCACACUGUGCUGGGCAUGCUAUGUAUGUGUUACUGGGAGAAACAAGCAAAGUAGUGAUCUGUGAGUUUUGAACUCCAGGCUGUUUCAUUUCCAGCUGAGCGCAUUUUCCCUUAUUUUCCUGCAUACAGAGAGAACAUGUUCUCUUGCAUCUAAGUGCCACUCCUUGUCUCUACAAUACAACAGAACAAAUAGCCUAAUCAGACUGAAAUGCAGAGCAUGCUGAAAAACUGGGAACACUCGGGACACAGUCAGUGAAGGUGAAAGCCUCUCUUGUUGUAGGAAGUGAUAAAUCCCAUAGAAGGAGUUACACAAAUGGAAGGGCCGAACUGGGAGUCAUGGAAAGGAGCAAGGAUUAUGGAAGGUGAACGGCCCUGGGCUCUGCUGCGGAUGGUGGUCAGAGAAGCAGAGCACAUCUUUGAACCGCUGCUCUCCCAGGAUCAUCUGCCUGCUCCGUUUCACCAGAGAAACUCCAUCUCAGUGGCCUCCUCAAAUCCAUUGAAAAGAAAAAUAACUGGAUACAACCCAAACAGAAAACAGAGCCCUGAUAUGGCAGUAAGCCUCUUGCCAGCUUCAGAGACUGCAACGUUCACCCCGUAUGUUUCUGAUCCUCCUAACCCCACAGACAGCAGCUCAGUUACACACACACACGCACAUUUGUACGUCUUGCAUUUGCAAAUAAUCUCUGACAUGGAGCCUCCCAGACUGCUCUGUGGAAAUACACAAGCCUGCAGCCAUCACUGCAUUGCCCUUGGUUUACCAAGACCAUGACAAUUUCUGAAGGGUUCCAGCAGCUUAGUUCCCUUUCCUACUAACAGAGGUACUUUGGCCACCUCUUAUGAAAGUUCCUCCUUUCCUUAAACCGCGCAGAAUUAUUUCUGAUAUUAUCCUCACCAUAUAUGCUCAUUUAACUGGUCUGCAAUUGCCCCUACCACCUGGCUCUCCAGUCCAAUUGGGUUUUCUCCACUAGCCAACUUCCAAAGACACUGGCUCAGGUUUUCAGGGCUUCCCUUUAGCAUCCUACACACUUGUGCUGUCUGAGGGGAAGAUGUCUUUGCUGCAUGCAACUGCCCUGUUGGAAGAGGCCAACAAAAAUAGCUGAUCCUGGACUGUGGUCAGUGGAGAGGACUCCAAAACUCAUACUGCAUGAUUCCUUGGUUGUCCUAAACACACAAUUUCCUAAAAAAUGUAGGUAUUCAAACUUGCUAAGCUGGCUUCCUUGAUGCCUGGUAAG